AAUGAUAGUUAUUUUGAAUUAUGAUAUAUUAAUAAUGACCUACCAACUACGUAGCGUAGGUUACAAACAUGAAAAAAUAAUGGCAUCUUAGUAAUCCGCCGGAACCAAGAUACCUCUGCUCUGCUCUGCUGUUGAGCAGCAGCCACAUCAUGCCGGAGUCGGGGAUAAUUUUCUUUGAUGCACCAGGCGGUAGAGCAUCGGACGUUCUCAUGGAGACGGGCCAUAAGAUUCAGGGUUGUUAUUGAAGAACAGAUUAGAUGUGGAUGGAUCAAGGAGAUGAUAACAGGUCUCCUCUAAUAGGAUCACUGAUGUUCUAUGGAAGACCCAGAUAUUUGUGCUUCGGGAGCACAAAGCCUUGCAAGAGAAAGGGAACGAGAAUAUAAAAAAAAUUAAUGAUGGCCUAAUUAAAAUGGCAUCUCCGAAAAAAGAAGAUAAAUCAACUGAAAUUAUUCAUGGCGUUGCAAUUGGUGUUGCUAUUGCCAUUUGGGUGAUAGCACUGCUUACUGAUCGCCCGAAUUGAUUAUGUCCAAGACGGCGGCAAUGUUUUUUUUUGAGUGUUUUCCGGCACAUAAAAUGACGAGAGAUUAUGAACCUGUCUGAUAGAACUUCAUUAUUAUAAUUCUACCAUUUCAAUUGUAUGUCCAUAUUUGAUACCUGUGAUACCUGGGACAUUUUUGGGUAUCCGGAGACUUUUUAAAUAUUUAUGCAAUGCAGGUAUUUUCAGACUUUA